CGUAGGCCACAAGCGUUAUCCGGAUUUAUUGGGCGUAAAGCGUGUGUAGGGGGCCCGGUGCGUCUAUGGUUAAAGCCCACCGCCUAACGGUGGAAGUGCCAUGGAUACGAUCGGGCUGGAGGGUGUUAGAGGUGCACGGAACAUACGGUGUAGGGGUGAAAUCCGUUGAUAUCGUAUGGAACACCGAAGGCGAAGGCAGUGCACUGGGACAUUCCUGACCCUGAGACACGAAAGCGUGGGGAGCAAAAAGGAUUAGAUACCCUUGUAGUCCACGCCCUAAACGAUGCCUGCUAGCUGUUUCGAGUAUCGACCCUCGGAGUGGCGAAGCUAACGCGUUAAGCAGGCCGCCUGGGAAGUACGAGCGCAAGCUUA
rnacentral:rRNA from 1 species